GAUGGCUUAGACCUAUGGACUCCUUC
rnacentral:piRNA from 1 species